rnacentral:rRNA from 1 species
ACUCCUACGGGAGGCAGCAGUGGGGAAUAUUGCACAAUGGGCGGAAGCCUGAUGCAGCGACGCCGCGUGAGGGAUGACGGCCUUCGGGUUGUAAACCUCUUUCAGCAGGGACCAAGCGUGAGUGAGUGUACCUGCAGAAGAAGCACCGGCUAACUACGUGCCAGCAGCCGCGGUAAUACGUAGGGUGCGAGCGUUGUCCGGAUUUAUUGGGCGUAAAGGGCUCGUAGGCGGCCUGUCGCGUCGGAAGUGAAAGCCCACUGCUUAACGGUGGGUCUGCUUCCGGUACGGGCAGGCUGGAGUAUGGCAGGGGAGACUGGAAUUCCUGGUGUAGCGGUGGAAUGCGCAGAUAUCAGGAGGAACACCGGUGGCGAAGGCGGGUCUCUGGGCCAUUACUGACGCUGAGGAGCGAAAGCGUGGGGAGCGAACAGGAUUAGAUACCCUGGUAGUCCACGCCGUAAACGUUGGGCGCUAGGUGUGGGGACUUUUCCACGGUCUCCGUGCCGGAGCUAACGCAUUAAGCGCCCCGCCUGGGGAGUACGGCCGCAAGGCUAAAACUCAAAGGAAUUGACGGGGGCCCGCACAAGCGGCGGAGCAUGCGGCUUAAUUCGAUGCAACGCGAAGAACCUUACCAGGGCUUGACAUGCACGGUGCAGGCCUAGAGAUAGGCUGUCCUUUGGGGUCGUGCACAGGUGGUGCAUGGUUGUCGUCAGCUCGUGUCGUGAGAUGUUGGGUUAAGUCCCGCAACGAGCGCAACCCUCGUCCUGUAUUGCCAGCAAGCUGUUGGGGACUUGCGGGAGACUGCCGGGGUCAACUCGGA